UUGAAAGGGAAACGAUUGAAGUCAGUCGUGCUGGCCCGAAAUCAACCUCCUCUCGGGAGACCCAUGUUGUGCGACCCUCAAACCCCCCCCCGCCAUUGUCUCCCGAUGAGGGGGAGCCUUUCGUGUCCGCUCGUUACAUCAAUUUCGACCGUCAUAAAAAGCCUGGAGGGAUGGGGCUCCUUCGGGAGUGUUAUACCCUUUAGCGGAAUGUGGUGUUCGGGAUUGAGGAUUCACCGAAUACCUUUAGGGUGUUCCACCUGUUUCUCUGGGUAUCCUGGUACCACAGCUCCCUGACGGGGUAAGACCCCCCCUUGAACACGCUAGAGUCGAGCAACUUCGUUAAGGAUGUUGACGUA
rnacentral:rRNA from 1 species